UACGAAGGUGGCGAGCGUUGUUCGGAUUCACUGGGCAUAAAGGGCGCGUAGGCGGCGCUGUAAGCGGCGUGUGAAAACCCACGGCUCAACCGUGGAACUGCCCGCCGGACUGCAGUGCUUGAGGGCGGGAGGGAGGUGUGGAACUCUAGGUGGAGCGGUGAAAUGCGUAGAUAUCUAGAGGAACACCGGUGGCGAAAGCGACACCUUGGCCCGCAUCUGACGCUGAGGCGCGAAAGCGUGGGUAGCAAACAGG
rnacentral:rRNA from 1 species